rnacentral:rRNA from 1 species
AUUGAACGCUGGCGGCAGGCCUAACACAUGCAAGUCGAACGAGUGGCGGACGGGUGAGUAAUGUCUGGGAAACUGCCUGAUGGAGGGGGAUAACUACUGGAAAAGGUAGCUAAUACCGCAUACCAUCGGAUGUGCCCAGAUGGGAUUAGCUACUAGGUGGGGGAAAGGCUCACCUAGGCGACGAUCGCUAGCUGGUCUGAGAGGAUGACCAGCCACACUGGAACUGAGCCACGGUCCAGACUCCUACGUGAGGCAGCAGUGGGGAAUAUUGCACAAUGGGCGCAAGCCUGAUGCAGCCAUUCCGCGUGGAUGAAGAAGGCCUUCGGGUUGUAAAGUACUUUCGGCUGGGAGGCGUUACCCGCAGAAGAAGCACCGGCUAACUCCGGGCCAGCAGCCGCGGUAAUUG